GAUGAACGCUGGCGGCGUGCCUAAUACAUGCAAGUCGAGCGAACGGACGAGAAGCUUGCUUCUCUGAUGUUAGCGGCGGACGGGUGAGUAACACGUGGAUAACCUACCUAUAAGACUGGGAUAACUUCGGGAAACCGGAGCUAAUACCGGAUAAUAUUUUGAACCGCAUGGUUCAAAAGUUAAAGACGGUCUUGCUGUCACUUAUAGAUGGAUCCGCGCUGCAUUAGCUAGUUGGUAAGGUAACGGCUUACCAAGGCAACGAUGCAUAGCCGACCUGAGAGGGUGAUCGGCCACACUGGAACUGAGACACGGUCCAGACUCCUACGGGAGGCAGCAGUAGGGAAUCUUCCGCAAUGGGCGAAAGCCUGACGGAGCAACACCGCGUGAGUGAUGAAGGCCUUCGGAUCGUAAAACUCUGUUAUUAGGGAAGAACAUAUGUGUAAGUAACUGUGCACAUCUUGACGGUACCUAAUCAGAAAGCCACGGCUAACUUCGUG
rnacentral:rRNA from 1 species